GAAUCCUAGACAGCUAUUAUAUACUUGAUCUUGAUAUCCUACGUGGAUAACUGUGGUAAUUCUAGAGCUAAUACAUGCACCAAAGCUCCAAAUUUUUGACGAGCGCAUCUAUAAGAUUAAAACCAAUCGGGUUUCGGCCCGUUUGUUGGUGACUCUGAAUAACUAUGGCUAAUCGCAAUGGCUUGAACCGGAAUAUUCACAUGUGACGAUUUGCAACAGGUAAAGGGGAUUUUCACAAGCAGUGGUUCAGGAAGGUAGUCGCAGUGGCUUGAACCGGAUUCGACUCCGGAGAGGGAGCCUGAGAAACGGCUACCACAUCCAAGGAAGGCAGCAGGCGCGCAAAUUACCCACUCUCGGCAUGAGGAGGUAGUGACGAAAAAUAACGAGACCGUUCUCUAUGAGGCCGGUUAUCGGAAUGGGUACAAUUUAAACCCGUUAACGAGGAUCUAUGAGAGGGCAAGUCUGGUGCCAGCAGCCGCGGUAAUUCCAGCUCUCAAAGUGUAUAUCGUCAUUGCUGCGGUUAAAAAGCUCGUAGUUGGAUCUGCGCCUCAGGACCUGGUCCGCCCACUGGGUGAGAACUGGGCUCCUGGGCUAGUUCUGCUGGUUUUCCCUACGUUGCCUUCAUCGGUAGCGUAGGGUGGCUAGCGAGUUUACUUUGAAAAAAUUAGAGUGCUUCACGCGCGCUUAUGUCUGACUACUCGUGCAUGGAAUAAUAGAAUAGGAUCUCGGCUCUAUAUUGUUGGUUUUUCUGAUCUGAGAUAUGGAUUAAGAGGGACGGGACGGGGGGCAUUCGUAUCGCUGCGUGAGAGUGAAAUUCUGACGUAGCGAGACGUCGACUGCGAACGCAUUUGCUAGUAUGUCUUCUUAUCAGACGAAAGUCAGAGGUCGAGGCGAUCAGAUCCGCUUAGUCUGACGUAAACGAUACAACUAGCGUCCGUCGGCGUAAUAUCUCUGGACGGCAGCUUCCGGAACGUAAGCCUCCGUCCGGGGAGAUUGGUGCAAGCUGAAACUACAUGACUGAUGGAUCACGGAGUGGAGCCUGCCGCUAAUGACCACUGUAAUUACUGGCCGGAACCUGGGAUUGAAUGAGCUUUCGAUCGCUGGUGCUGCGUCAGUGGGACUCGCUUCGUAAGGACUUGCAUUAAAG
rnacentral:rRNA from 1 species